GACAGAGGGUGCUAGCGUUGUUCGGAAUUACUGGGCGUAAAGGGCGCGUAGGCGGCCCGUUUAGUCGGGUGUGAAAUCCCGGGGCUCAACCCCGGAACUGCACUCGAUACUGGCGGGCUUGAGACCGGAAGAGGUGGGUGGAAUACCCAGUGUAGAGGUGAAAUUCGUAGAUAUUGGGUGGAACACCGGUGGCGAAGGCGGCUCACUGGUCCGGUUCUGACGCUGAGGCGCGAAAGCGUGGGGAGCAAACAGG
rnacentral:rRNA from 1 species